rnacentral:rRNA from 1 species
AUUGAACGCUGGCGGCAUGCUUUACACAUGCAAGUCGAACGGUAACAGGCCGCAAGGUGCUGACGAGUGGCGAACGGGUGAGUAAUGCAUCGGAACGUGCCCAGUCGUGGGGGAUAACUGCUCGAAAGAGCAGCUAAUACCGCAUACGAUCUAUGGAUGAAAGCGGGGGACCGUAAGGCCUCGCGCGAUUGGAGCGGCCGAUGUCAGAUUAGGUAGUUGGUGGGGUAAAGGCGCACCAAGCCAACGAUCUGUAGCUGGUCUGAGAGGACGACCAGCCACACUGGGACUGAGACACGGCCCAGACGCCUACGGGAGGCAGCAGUGGGGAAUUUUGGACAAUGGGCGCAAGCCUGAUCCAGCAAUGCCGCGUGCAGGAAGAAGGCCUUCGGGUUGUAAACUGCUUUUGUACGGAACGAAAAGGUCUGGGUUAAUACCCUGGGCUCAUGACGGUACCGUAAGAAUAAGCACCGGCUAACUACGUGCCAGCCGCCGCGGUAACAC